AAAUUGAAAUCGCUGUGAAGAUGCAGCGUUCCCGUGGCAAGACGGAAAGACCCCGUGAACCUUUACUAUAGCUUUACACUGAACGUUGAGUUCGUCUGUGUAGGAUAGGUGGGAGGCUAUGAAACUGUGGCGCUAGCUGCAGUGGAGCCAUCCUUGAAAUACCACCCUGAUGUGCUUGACGUUCUAACCUGGGCCCGUAAUCCGGGUCGGGGACCGUGUAUGGUGGGUAGUUUGACUGGGGCGGUCUCCUCCUAA
rnacentral:rRNA from 1 species